rnacentral:rRNA from 1 species
AGUGAACGCUGGCGGUAGGCCUAACACAUGCAAGUCGAACGGCAGCACAGUAAGAGCUUGCUCUUACGGGUGGCGAGUGGCGGACGGGUGAGGAAUACAUCGGAAUCUACUUUUUCGUGGGGGAUAACGUAGGGAAACUUACGCUAAUACCGCAUACGACCUACGGGUGAAAGCAGGGGAUCAUCGGACCUUGCGCGAUUGAAUGAGCCGAUGUCGGAUUAGCUAGUUGGCGGGGUAAAGGCCCACCAAGGCGACGACCCGUAGCUGGUCUGAGAGGAUGAUCAGCCACACUGGAACUGAGACACGGUCCAGACUCCUACGGGAGGCAGCAGUGGGGAAUAUUGGACAAUGGGCGCAAGCCUGAUCCAGCCAUACCGCGUGGGUGAAGAAGGCCUUCGGGUUGUAAAGCCCUUUUGUUGGGAAAGAAAAGCAGCAGGUUAAUACCCCGCUGUUCUGACGGUACCCAAAGAAUAAGCACCGGCUAACUUCGUG